ACAACUUUCAACAACGGAUCUCUUGGCUCUCGCAUCGAUGAAGAACGCAGCGAAUUGCGAUAACUAAUGUGAAUUGCAGAAUUCAGUGAAUCAUCGAGUCUUUGAACGCACCUUGCACCCUUUGGUAUUCCGAAGGGUAUGCCUGUUUGAGUGUCAUUAUAAUUCUCAA
rnacentral:rRNA from 1 species